rnacentral:rRNA from 1 species
AGGCUCUUAAAUCAGCCUGAAUAGUGGUGCAUGGAAUAAUGGAAAAGGACCUUGGUUCUAUUUUGUUGGUUUACGGAAUCCAAGGUAAUGAUCAAUAAGGACAGGCGGGGGCAUUCGUAUUGCGGCGUUAGAGGUGAAAUUCUUGGAUCGUCGCAAGACGCACUAGAGCGAAAGCAUUUGCCAAGUAUGUCUUAAUUGAUCAAGAACGAAAGUUAGAGGCUCGAAGGCGAUCAGAUACCGCCCUAGUUCUAACCAUAAACGAUGCCAGCCAGCGAUCCGCCGAUGUUCCUCCGAUGACACGGCGGGGAGCUUUCCUCGGGAAACCAAAGCUUUUGGGUUCCGGGGGAAGUAUGGUUGCAAAGCUGAAACUUAAAGGAAUUGACGGAAGGGCACCACCAGGAGUGGAGCCUGCGGCUUAAUUUGACUCAACACGGGAAACCUCACCAGGCCCGGACAUUGGAAGGAUUGACAGAUCGAUAGCUCUUUCUCGAUUCAGUGGGUAGUGGUGCAUGGCCGUUCUUAGUUGGUGGACUGAUUUGUCUGGUUAAUUCCGAUAACGAACGAGACUCUGACCUAUUAACUAGGCGUUGCCGGUAUAAACAGCUACCGGCGAGAUUUUUUCUUCUUAAGGGGACAGGCGGCU